UUCAGGAUGGAAGCUUGCGGCGUGCUAACCAUGCAGUCGAACCGGUGAUCAGGAGCUGCUCGUGGAAUCAGUGGGCGAACCGGUGAGUAACACGUGAGCACUGCCCUGACUCUGGGAUAGCGCUGCAAUCGCGUCUAUACCUGGAUAUGUGACGUGGAUCGCAUGGUCUGCGUCUGGAAAGAAUUUCGGUUGAGGAUGGGCUCGCGGCCUAUCAGCUUGUUGGUGAGGUAAUGGCUCACCAAGGCGUCGACGGGUAGCCGGCUGAGAGGGUGACCGGCCACACUGGGACUGAGACACGGCCCAGACUCCUACGGGAGGCAGCAGUGGGGAAUAUUGCACAAUGGGCGCAAGCCUGAUGCAGCAACGCCGCGUGAGGGACGACGGCCUUCGGGUUGUAAACCUCUUUUAGCAGGGAAGAAGCGAAAGUGACGGUACCUGCAGAAAAAGCGCCGGCUAACUACGUGCCAGCAGCCGCGGUAAUACGUAGGGCGCAAGCGUUAUCCGGAAUUAUUGGGCGUAAAGAGCUCGUAGGCGGUUUGUCGCGUCUGCUGUGAAAUCCGGAGGCUCAACCUCCGGCCUGCAGUGGGUACGGGCAGACUAGAGUGCGGUAGGGGAGAUUGGAAUUCCUGGUGUAGCGGUGGAAUGCGCAGAUAUCAGGAGGAACACCGAUGGCGAAGGCAGAUCUCUGGGCCGUAACUGACGCUGAGGAGCGAAAGGGUGGGGAGCAAACAGGCUUAGAUACCCUGGUAGUCCACCCCGUAAACGUUGGGAACUAGUUGUGGGGUCCAUUCCACGGAUUCCGUGACGCAGCUAACGCAUUAAGUUCCCCGCCUGGGGAGUACGGCCGCAAGGCUAAAACUCAAAGGAAUUGACGGGGACCCGCACAAGCGGCGGAGCAUGCGGAUUAAUUCGAUGCAACGCGAAGAACCUUACCAAGGCUUGACAUAUACGAGAACGGGCCAGAAAUGGUCAACUCUUUGGACACUCGUAAACAGGUGGUGCAUGGUUGUCCUCAGCUCCAGUCGUGAGAUGUUGGGUUAAGUCCCGCAACGCGCGCAACCCUCGUUCUAUGUUGCCAGCACGUAAUGGUGGGAACUCAGGGGAUACCGCCGGGGUCAACUCGGACGAAGGUGGGGAUGUCGUCAAAUCCUCAUGCCCAUUAUCUCCUGGGCUUCUCGCAUGCUACAAUGUCCGGCACAAAGGUCUGCAAUACCGUCAGGUGGAGCGAAUCCUCAAAAAGCCUGUAAGCAGCCCCGAGUGAACGUAUUUGGAAU
rnacentral:rRNA from 1 species